AUACAAAUCAUGUUCGGUGCCCAGAUGCAUCGGUACAUAUUCCACUAGGAUACAAUUUUGAAACGGUCAAUCUGACAACCGGAGUGAAGAUUUGCAGGGAUGUUGGUAUGGUGAUUGCUACCGUUGACACUACCAACCUAAACCCAAUAGUUGCGCAUUGUACAUAUGAUAUGAUAUUCCAUUAUACACAUGCCAUUACCUUUCAGGAUUCUUCCGACCUUCCCUCUAUCCAUUCUUAUCGUUCGGGUAAACCUGGAAGAUUCGACCGUUAUGGGGGGUUCUAUGCUGGUGAAGCUAGAACUGCUCGGGUGAUUUGUGCAGCAUUUACCAACUGCCUUUCAGCGCCCAAAAUUGUAAAUGCAAAAAUUACACGGAUGAAAAGUCAACCAUCAGGCAGUGAUGCGUUCACGUCAGGCCUUCUUAUGGUCCAAUGCAACACAGGUUACAUGUUCGCGAACCCGCUUCCUUUGGUUUGUGCAGGUGAAGGUACCUGGACUUCCGGAGAAUGUCUGGCUGCAUGUGCGCUGCCAACCGUCAAUAAUAGUGUGAACUUGGUGGGAAAUUUUGUUAACCAAAGUGGUUUACGGGUACAUGUAUUUACGGUUGAAUGUGGUAUGGGAUAUUAUGUAGCUCCAAGCGCAACCUCAGGCCGCUGUUCUGGACCUGGAGGA